GCCCUAGUAGCUUAGUCUAAAAGCAUCG
rnacentral:tRNA from 3 species